rnacentral:rRNA from 1 species
UGGGGAAUAUUGGACAAUGGGGGGAACCCUGAUCCAGCCAUGCCGCGUGUGUGAAGAAGGCCUUAUGGUUGUAAAGCACUUUAAGCGAGGAGGAGGGUACUGGUAUUAAUACUACCAGGUACUGGACGUUACUCGCAGAAUAAGCACCGGCUAACUCUGUGCCAGCAGCCGCGGUAAUACAGAGGGUGCGAGCGUUAAUCGGAUUUACUGGGCGUAAAGCGUGCGUAGGCGGCUAAUUGAGUCGGAUGUGAAAUCCCCGAGCUUAACUUGGGAAUUGCAUUUGAUACUGGUUAGCUAGAGUGUGGGAGAGGAUGGUAGAAUUCCCGGUGUAGCGGUGAAAUGCGUAGAGAUCUGGAGGAAUACCGAUGGCGAAGGCCGCCAUCUGGCCUAACACUGACGCUGAGGUACGAAAGCAUGGGGAGCAAACAGG